rnacentral:rRNA from 1 species
UACGGGGGGGGCAAGCGUUGUUCGGAAUUACUGGGCGUAAAGGGCUCGUAGGCGGCCAACUAAGUCAGACGUGAAAUCCCUCGGCUUAACCGGGGAACUGCGUCUGAUACUGGAUGGCUUGAAUCCGGGAGAGGGAUGCGGAAUUCCAGGUGUAGCGGUGAAAUGCGUAGAUAUCUGGAGGAACACCGGUGGCGAAGGCGGCAUCCUGGAUCGGCAUUGACGCUGAGGAGCGAAAGCCAGGGGAGCAAAGCGGG